rnacentral:rRNA from 1 species
CAGCAGCCGCGGUAAAACGUAGGUGGCAAGCGUUGUCCGGAAUUAUUGGGCGUAAAGGGCUCGCAGGCGGUUUCUUAAGCCUGAUGUGAAAGCCCCCGGCUCAACCGGGGAGGGUCAUUGGAAACUGGGAAACUUGAGUGCAGAAGAGGAGAGUGGAAUUCCACGUGUAGCGGUGAAAUGCGUAGAGAUGUGGAGGAACACCAGUGGCGAAGGCGACUCUCUGGUCUGUAACUGACGCUGAGGAGCGAAAGCGUGGGGAGCGAACAGGAUUAGAUACCCCUGUAGUCCCUGUCUCUUAUAC